GGAAGGCCCAUUCUUAAUCCACUGAGUGAAUUGGAUGUAAGCACAAAGCCCAGUAGCCAUGGACUUCGAAUCAUCACUUCUCAGAGGCAUCACUCAAGGA